AUUUUGGACAAUGGGGGCAACCCUGAUCCAGCCAUCCCGCGUGUGCGAUGAAGGCCUUCGGGUUGUAAAGCACUUUUGGCAGGGAAGAAACAGCCUGGGCUAAUAUCCCGGGCGACUGACGGUACCUGCAGAAUAAGCACCGGCUAACUACGUGCCAGCAGCCGCGGUAAUACGUAGGGUGCAAGCGUUAAUCGGAAUUACUGGGCGUAAAGCGUGCGCAGGCGGUUCGGAAAGAAAGGUGUGAAAUCCCAGGGCUUAACCUUGGAACUGCACUUUUAACUACCGGGCUAGAGUACGUCAGAGGGGGGUAGAAUUCCACGUGUAGCAGUGAAAUGCGUAGAGAUGUGGAGGAAUACCGAUGGCGAAGGCAGCCCCCUGGGAUGAUACUGACGCUCAUGCACGAAAGCGUGGGGAGCAAACA
rnacentral:rRNA from 1 species